CAGAGAGAGAGAUUACAGUUGGAGAUAAACGUGUGGUAAAUAAAUUUGUAUUAAAAUUGGGGAUGUGCCAAUGGGAAGUGUUUGUGAACAGCCUUUCAAAUGUGUUUCCCCUAUUGCUGGGAGUUUAGGGUUUGUUUCCUGGAGAGAGAGAGAGACAAAGUGGCCUAUAUGAAAUUGUGUAAUUGUAAAAAAUUAGUUGACAUCAUGAGUAGUUUUAAAGCACAAUUUCUGUUACAUUUACAGCAUUUAACAGAUAAAGUCAUCAUGUUAGAUAAGAAAAAGGAAUAUAAUGACAGUUCUUUAUCUCAUCUCUGUGUUUAUCCAGUCUAACGAAGUGCCUUUCUCCUUAUUUUAGUUUAGUACAGUAUGCUGGUUCGACUGGGCGAUUGAAAGAGUCAGAAAGGUUCGUUUUUAAAAGAUCAUCUCUUUUGCUAUGUUUUUUAUCACAAUGUGUAGUCUAGUGUCUUGGAGGAAGCAUGAGUAAGCAACACUCUCCCUGGUUAAAACUUGUUUUACACACUACUUGUCUUUCAAAUACUCAGAAUCGCUGACAGUUUUACAUGUCUGCUUGCAGACGAGGCAACUUAUAGUGUAAAAAAACAGCUUUUAAAGAAGUUCUUAUACGUAAUAGUGUGUGCAGAUAACAAUCAUGCUGUGUUUAUUUUUUUGCUCUUGUUAUCACCCAAAUGGGUGUGACAUACUAAAUAAUGUUAUACAGACAAGUUAUAGCCAAUAUUAACAUUUUGUUUUCCUGCUCCCACACAAACAGAUGAAUAAUAAACUAAGUAUUCUUUAUACUUUAUAUUGGAAUGAUAAUUAUACUCUCACUAUCCUAUUCAUUAGCAACAGCUGUACUGUACCUUCAUGCAGUUAUCUGAUCAGCCAAGUAUGUGUGUUAUUAAACAUCAGCAUCUGUGAUAUCUGUGAUAUCUGUGAUAUCUGUGAUCUCUGUGGAUGUUACUGUCAUAUCGGUUUGAGUAUUUCAGACAGUAUUGAUCAAGAUAUUACACAGAAUAUUAGGGGAAGAUACAUAGUGUGUGUGACAGUUUCUGCAGGUGGAAACACCUUGUUGAAUGUAUAGUUCAGAGGAAAAUAUCCAGAGUGGAUCGAACUGCAUGGAACUACUCAGAAGAAAAGCAUCACAGCACGACAUACUGAACAUUAAGUUUGGUGAAACUGCGCACAGACCCUGGUGUAACUGAAUCGACCGACUUACAGACACGAGGACACCCAGUCAACAAAGACACCUGGUGAAGAUCUCAUCCUCCCCUCCUCUCUCCGUCCACAGAUGAUUCUUGUCCCUCACCAUGUGUUAAAUACAGUUAAAGACCUUCUCCUGAAUGAACUUGUUUUUAUGCCCCGCCAUUCUCAAAUAGUGAAGAGUACAGCAACCCAACAAUGGAACAGCCUUUUAAUGAGUGUUUAGUACUCAGACACAGUCUCUGCCUCAGUGUUUAGAUCUAGGCUAUCAAACAAGGAGCAGAUCUGGAGUGUUCAUGGGUAUAGUGUUUUGGUGAACUCAACCCUCAAUUACUCAGCUGUAUAAAAAAAAAGAGAUAAUGUAAGUCGCUCUGGAUAAGGGUGUCUGCCAAAUGCUGUAAAUGUGUAGCUUUUGAGGAUCUUUUGGUCUACUUCACUUU